rnacentral:tRNA from 1 species
UGGCUCAAUGGUUAGAGCGUUUUACUUCUAAAAAAAGGUUCGGGGUUUGACCCCG